GAUUUGACUCACUGGAAGAUGAGCCUGGUUAGAGUGUGGUGCUGAUAACACCAAGGUUGUAGGUUCGAUCCCCGUAUGAGCCA